rnacentral:snRNA from 1 species
UUACUCUGGUGUUUCCUCAUUCGCGGAUAAAUCUUUCGCCUUUUACUAAAGAUUUCCAUGGGAGGCACAGUACAAUGAGUCUUGCCUCAUUUUUUCAGCUCUAACUACGGACGGAGU